AGCUGAUUAUAUUAGUGUGAAAUGGGUAAGAAAAAAUAUGAUAGAUAAUUUUUGCAGCUAUGCCAAACUUUCAAAUUGCUCUCCUGAAAAGUUUACAAAUCAUGACUUAUCAGCUUGUGUUAUGUACCCACAGAACUAUUCUCUAUG